GUGACAAAGGAAGACCAUCGCUCACAAUUAAGAACAUUGUGCAUUUAGGCAGCAAUGCUCAUACAAAUAAAUGGCAGCAACGUCUCUGCAAAAUUUUGAGUAAAAUAAAGGUUGUACGACACGUCAUAGACCUGAUUGUACGACACCUCAUAGAUGUCAUGACAUGAUCUAGGGUCAAGGUGAGGCGAGAUAUCCAGUGCCAACGUGGGUCGCAGGCUAAGUAACGUGAGAAUACUAUGGUCUCAAGCGCAAGCAGAAGAUCCCCAAAAUGCUCAACGCCAUUCUUUGCAUAUCUGUUUGUGUAUCAGAGUGACCUUUACUAAGAGACAGGAUUUAGCAAAAGCGGAGAGGUGUCUCACUCCCAGUGGUUUCCAGCCUACCGGACACUAGCUCGGAAUUUCUGAGUGACCGUGCUAUUAUUGCUAGACAGUCCUUGAACCUAGACAGGGUAUAUCACUCCUCACAAGUCUGGCUUUUAAUCCUGCUGGGUUUCACGCAACCCUUCUCAGCAGGCUAGCCUGGUGGGAGUGCCGGUUUAGCUGCCUAUGACGCAACGAUGUAACGGGUUGUACCGCAUUCUAUGUUAUCAGUAACACUCAUGAGACUUCACUAAUGAUUUGACUCGCACGCACGUACACAGACAACGCAUACUCACACGCCCGCUCAUACAUACAUACAUACAUACAUACAUACAUACAUACAUACAUACAUACAUACAUACAUACAUACAUACGUGCAUUUACCUGUAACAUUCAGUCAUACUUCGUGGCUUUUUUCUUCGUAUUUUCUGUCGUUUUCUCUGUUCGAUUUCAGGUUUGCCAUUGGAACAAUUACAGAGCAAAAACAGUAUUAACUUUCUUGGAAGAUUGGAGAAUUGCUCUUAUGCAAUCAUUUGAUAAUUCUGAUGACAGAAUAUUUAUACCCCAUGAAGCAGUCUUUGUUUUUUUUUUUUUCUUAUUCGUUGGAAUAUCCGUAGUCCAGAAUCUGUUGUAAAUUCCAUGGUGAUUGGAGAAUAACAAGAAUUCUCAAGAAGUUAGCAUUAAGCGUCUUUGGAAAAUGUGAUGCCAGAAUAUAUGCUCGACAUGACGUAGAAAACUAAUAUAGCAAAACUCACGAACUGUCUGCAAUGGUUCAAAAAAUAAAAUAAUAAAGAUGAAGGAAAAUGUAAUAUUUUCAUUAAAAUCCAUCGAAAUUUA
rnacentral:lncRNA from 1 species